AGCUGCUACGCUAAAUAUCUUCCCAAAGCACGCAGAACUUGAGAAGUACAGAAGCUUUUGGUCAUGCUCAGAGAAGCCAGAGACCACCAGGAAAAUGUCCACGCUGUCAGAAGCCUUUGCCUACGAGGACACUCAUCCCUCUCAGUGUGCAAUCAGGAAUCAGAGUCCCUGGCAAGCCCCUGCUCUCUUUCUGUUCCAGCAAAACCUCACCCAAAUCUGCAGAAGACUGGUAGUUCAUUUGAUGAACUUAAGUACUUAAAACGGAAAAAAAUAUCAACUCAUCAUUUUUAGGCCUUUGUGGAAUUCUCUGUACCACAUGGAAAUGAACUCUCUUAUCUGCUCGGAGACUGAUGUGAGAAAAAGCAAUAUCACCUCUGAAUAUAUUACCAGGAUAAAAUAGCUGCUUUCCAAGAGAGGGAGAAAAGGAUGAUGGUGGACGUGAUAUCCACAUGCCUGCAAAGCUCUGUGUUUCACUGAUAUCUUUAUUUCCACACCAAGCAGAAGGAUGAAUCUUCCAGUUUCUAAAAGAAGUGAUGCUGUGAAGUUGCUGGGAACAGGGUUUGGCACUAUUUUUUUCCCAUCAUUCUCUUAAAUAAGUCCCAAAGUCUUAUGCUUGCUUGUUAGGCUUAUAAAUACAGACUGCUUCCUUUUCCGCUCUGGCUGCUUUCCUCAGUAUUGGCUGGCUUCAAGGGAUGGGGAAGAAACAUGCUGACAAUGCUCACACUUUCUGUGAAUCUCUUUCAUUUAUUGUAGCCUUUAGCUCAUAUGAAUUCCAGCUUUGAGGCGUUUGCUUGUACAGCCGUCUUGUCACUGACAGUUUCUCCAGCUGCCCCAAAUCCUUUCCAGCUCCGCUCUAUUUUAAGGACCUGGCUGCACCACAUCUUCUGGGUAAAAAAAGAGAAACAAAAAUAAGUGUUUAUUUGCCAGUGUCUUCUGGAGAUGAAACAACUCAGCAGCUAACCCCUGCUGGGGAAAUAGUUGCCACAUUUGUUUAGUUCAGAAAGACCAAGCACCUUUCCUGUAUCGGGGACUGCAAGAGUUUCAUAAAUAGCUGCUUCAGUAUUUGUGCACCUAAUCCUUUCUAUGCAGAAGCCACUGGAGAUAGUAUACAUUUAUUAAUAAACCUAAUAGUAGGUGUCUAUAGGUGGAUGUUGACAUGUGGGUUUGAAGAGCUUGUUACAGGCAGUGGAGAUCUAGGCAAUGCAGGAGCCUGCAGAACAUUGCAGCUGGCCCAUGCUGGGAGGCUCAAAUGAGAUGCCCCCACCAAACCAUUUUGUGCUGAGCUGUAACUGAGGCAUUCACACCAGGAUGGCAGACAUGAGGCAGCACCUCCCAGAGGUCCAUAUCCUCCCAGAGCAGCAGUGAAGGGUCAGGAGGGAGAUGCUAGUGUGUCUCAGCACCAACUGCUCAUCUGUAGCAGCUCCCUAGUCCUCUGCUCUGAAAGGAGUUGAGUUUCCCUCUCACAAGUGUCUGACUCCAUUGAUUUGUCAUGUCAGCUUAAACACAUGGCUUGCCUGUGGACAAUCACAAAUAGUGCAUCUGUCUUUAGGUAUCAUAAUCUGGACCUGAAUUUCUCCACAAGACUUACUGCUGGGCCCUCGCUUUUACUGCUUUGUACCAUACUGGGGUUACACCAGUGGGUUCUGGAGAGCUCCUGGAGUAGGUGUCACAACAAGGCACUGCAUUCUCCAAGAAGGCUGGAAAUAUGCAGUCAAGGAGCUUGUGAAACAUGCAGAUUUAGAGCGCCCUGAGUGCAUGCACUGGAAUACAAUCAGGCCUUAAGGCAACUGAGCAUACAUAGGGCAUGGGCAAAUGAACACAGACAGAGCACUGGCUAAUGCAAGUUAGAGCCAUCCUUAAGGCAAGUUAUUCCCAAAUAUUUAUUGGGACUGAAAAGCCACUUUUCACUGUUGUUGGUUUUUUUUUUUUUGCCAUAUGACUCCUCAGACCCUGUACCAACUAUAGAUUGCAGGAUCCAAAGACUAGGCUAUUAUUCUUCAGUGAAUCUUAUAAUAGAAA